AUGAACGCUAGCUACAGGCUUAACACAUGCAAGUCGAGGGGCAGCAUGGUCUUAGCUUGCUAAGGCCGAUGGCGACCGGCGCACGGGUGAGUAACGCGUAUCCAACCUGCCUUACACUCUUGGACAGCCUUCUGAAAGGGAGAUUAAUACAAGAUGUUAUCAUGAGUAAGCAUUUUCGCAUGAUUAAAGGUUUACCGGUGUAAGAUGGGGAUGCGUUCCAUUAGAUAGUAGGCGGGGUAACGGCCCACCUAGUCUUCGAUGGAUAGGGGUUCUGAGAGGAAGGUCCCCCACAUUGGAACUGAGACACGGUCCAAACUCCUACGGGAGGCAGCAGUGAGGAAUAUUGGUCAAUGGACGAGAGUCUGAACCAGCCAAGUAGCGUGAAGGAUGAAGGUUCUAUGGAUUGUAAACUUCUUUUAUACGGGAAUAAACGGAUCCACGUGUGGAUUUUUGCAUGUACCGUAUGAAUAAGGAUCGGCUAACUCCGUGCCAGCAGCCGCGGUAAUACGGAGGAUCCGAGCGUUAUCCGGAUUUAUUGGGUUUAAAGGGAGCGUAGAUGGGUUGUUAAGUCAGUUGUGAAAGUUUGCGGCUCCACCGUAAAAUUGCAAUUGAUACUGGCAGUCUUGAGUACAGUUGAGGUAGGCGGAAUUCGUGGUGUAGCGGUGAAAUGCUUAGAUAUCACGAAGAACUCCGAUUGCGAAGGCAGCUUACUAACCUGUAACUGACAUUGAUGCUCGAAAGUGUGGGUAUCAAACAGGAUUAGAUACCCUGGUAGUCCACACGGUAAACGAUGAAUACUCGCUGUAGGCGAUAUACAGUCUGCGGCCAAGCGAAAGCAUUAAGUAUUCCACCUGGGGAGUACGCCGGCAACGGUGAAACUCAAAGGAAUUGACGGGGGCCCGCACAAGCGGAGGAACAUGUGGUUUAAUUCGAUGAUACGCGAGGAACCUUACCCGGGCUUAAAUUGCAACCGAAUAUGGCGGAAACGCUAUAGCUAGCAAUAGCGGUUGUGAAGGUGCUGCAUGGUUGUCGUCAGCUCGUGCCGUGAGGUGUCGGCUUAAGUGCCAUAACGAGCGCAACCCUUGCCGAUAGUUACUAACAGGUCAUGCUGAGGACUCUGUCGGGACUGCCAUCGUAAGAUGUGAGGAAGGUGGGGAUGACGUCAAAUCAGCACGGCCCUUACGUCCGGGGCUACACACGUGUUACAAUGGGGGGUACAGAGGGCUGCUACCACGCAAGUGGAUGCCAAUCCCAAAAACCUCUCUCAGUUCGGAUUGAAGUCUGCAACCCGACUUCAUGAAGCUGGAUUCGCUAGUAAUCGCGCAUCAGCCACGGCGCGGUGAAUACGUUCCCGGGCCUUGUACACACCGCCCGUCAAGCCAUGGGAGCCGGGGGUACCUGAAGUGCGUAACCGCAAGGAGCGCCCUAGGGUAAAACUGGUGACUGGGGCU
rnacentral:rRNA from 1 species